rnacentral:rRNA from 1 species
GACGAACGCGGCGGCGUGCCUAAUACAUGCAAGUAGAACGCUGAAGGAGGAGCUUGCUUCUCUGGAUGAGUUGCGAACGGGUGAGUAACGCGUAGGUAACCUGCCUGGUAGCGGGGGAUAACUAUUGGAAACGAUAGCUAAUACCGCAUAAGAGUAGAUGUUGCAUGACAUUUGCUUAAAAGGUGCAAUUGCAUCACUACCAGAUGGACCUGCGUUGUAUUAGCUAGUUGGUGAGGUAACGGCUCACCAAGGCGACGAUACAUAGCCGACCUGAGAGGGUGAUCGGCCACACUGGGACUGAGACACGGCCCAGACUCCUACGGGAGGCAGCAGUAGGGAAUCUUCGGCAAUGGACGGAAGUCUGACCGAGCAACGCCGCGUGAGUGAAGAAGGUUUUCGGAUCGUAAAGCUCUGCUGUAAGAGAAGAACGAGUGUGAGAGUGGAAAGUUCACACUGUGACGGAU